rnacentral:rRNA from 1 species
UGAGGAAUAUUGGUCAAUGGGCGAGAGCCUGAACCAGCCAAAUCGCGUGAAGGAUGAAGGUAUUAUGUAUUGUAAACUUCUUUUGUCAGGGAAUAAAGUGCGGCACGUGUGCUGUUUUGUAUGUACCUGAAGAAUAAGGAUCGGCUAACUCCGUGCCAGCAGCCGCGGUAAUACGGAGGAUCCAAGCGUUAUCCGGAUUUAUUGGGUUUAAAGGGUGCGUAGGCGGAACUUCAAGUCAGCGGUGAAAGUUCCCGGCUUAACCGGGGAAUUGCCGUUGAAACUGUUGUUCUUGAGUGUAGACGAGGUAGGCGGAAUUCGUGGUGUAGCGGUGAAAUGCUUAGAUAUCACGAAGAACUCCGAUUGCGUAGGCAGCUUACUAGGCUACAACUGACGCUGAGGC